CAUUGACGCGUACGGGUUGUGGGAGCAAUCGCCCGGAGAUGGAUUCUGAGACACGAAUCCAGACCCUACGGGGUGCAGCAGGCGCGAAAACUUCACACUGCAGGAAACUGUGAUGAGGGAACUCUAAGUGCAUGCACAAUGUGUAUGCUUUUCCUUACUCUUAAUCGGUUUGGGAAUAAGGGCUGGGAAAGACCGGUGCCAGCCGCCGCGGUAAUACCGGCAGCUCAAGUGGUCGUCGCUUUUAUUGGGCCUAAAACGUCCGUAGCCUGUUUGGUAAAUCUGUGGGUAAAUCAACCAGCUUAACUGGUUGAAUUCUGCAGAGACUGCCAGACUAGGGACCGGGAGAGGUGUGGGGUACUCUCGGGGUAGGGGUAAAAUCCUGUCAUCCUGGGAGGACCACCAGUUGCGAAGGCGCCACACUGGAACGG
rnacentral:rRNA from 1 species